rnacentral:rRNA from 1 species
GACGAACGCUGGCGGCGUGCUUAACACAUGCAAGUCGAGGGGGUUCGUGGGGCGAACUCACGGAUCACCGGCGAACGGGUGCGUAACACGUGAGCGACCUGCCGUACCUGUGGGGGAUAGCCGGCCCAACGGCCGGGUAAUACCGCAUACGCUUGUCUUGGGGCAUCCUGGGACAAAGAAAGCUCUGGGGGCAACCCUGGGGCGCAGGACGAGGGGCUCGCGGCCUAUCAGCUAGUUGGCGGGGAACGGCCCACCAAGGCGGUGACGGGUAGCUGGUCUGAGAGGAUGGCCAGCCACAUUGGGACUGAGAGACGGCCCAGACUCCUACGGGAGGCAGCAGUGGGGAAUCUUGCGCAAUGGCCUAACGGCUGACGCAGCGACGCCGCGUGUGGGA